UGGAAGCAAAACAGAUGACUAAGGCC
rnacentral:piRNA from 1 species